rnacentral:lncRNA from 1 species
UUAAAACCAUUUCUAUUGAAAAUAAGGUCCAUUCAUUCAUACAUUUGUCAAUUUACACUGUCCAUACAAAAGAAGAUAAAAACAGUACAAUUUUUACGAAAGUUAACUUUUGGUCAACUGUUGACUUUUUGAUCAACUAGUUGACCAAAGUCAACUAACCUGAUUUUUACAUGACCAAACCCUAAUGCUCAUUGUAUAUUCAUUCGUGCAUCUUUCCAUGUGAUUCCAUGUUUAAUUCUUCAAGAGCAAGAAAACCUCACUUUUGCACCAAGUAUUGUUUCUUGCCAUGCCUUGAAUGAUCAUUUGUCAAGCCUUGCUUUUGCCUUGCCUUGAGGUCAUGUUCAAUUUCUAAGCAACCCUGCAUCAAACAUCCAUAAGCAACCAUGUUAACCAAAGCAAACAAGACAUUCAACAUAUCAUGGCCUUGACAUAUAAAAAUUCAAGCAUAGCUAGUAGCUGCAACCAUCGUUCCAUUUCAUAACACAUCAACAAAUAAGUAGAGUUGGACAUUUGGUUCACAUCAUAAUAACACAUAACUAAUAGCCAACAAUUAUACAAGGCAAAUGUCAAAGUAAGGUUGCAACAUUCACCAGUCCAAAACAGGCCAAGCAACAUGUUCAUCCAAACAGGUAUUAAAACAUAAAACCUAGUAAUGCAAAAUUCACAUGGGCAGGUAACAAAUUCAUGCAUCAACUAUGAAAUUCAAAUAGAAAGUGGAUUAGAAAACAGGUCACCAUCUGCAAGCCUGCAAGUUGCUAAUCAGAUUGAACCUAAUAAAACAUUGCAUGUAAACAUGCAUGUCCUAUCAACCAUGACGUGCACCAAUAGGUCAUAACCAACAAAACCCGACAGUACCAAAGCAAUUUUAAACCAAGACAAGUUCAACAGGUCACCUUGCAAUUUCCAGAUAAAAGCCCAACCUGCAACAACAUGUCAUCAUCAUCAACUUGCAACCUACAUUAACCAUAAAUUAACAUAACCCACACUAGUAAAACCAACAUGCAAAACUUGCACUUUGCCCAAACAACAUAACCUACAACAUGUUCAGCGUGUCAUCAACACACAUUUCCACUUAACUUCAAUACAAGCUACCUACAACAACCAGUCAUAACAAACUGAUUAUCUAACUAACAUUGAUUGAAUUUGAAACUUAACUAAUAAAAAACAUUUUAACUAACUACAAAAUCAAGUUUAACAGAAAAAUGAUCCCUAACUGAAAAUCGCGACUCUCAAGGAUUAACAAAGUUUAAACUUCUAAAAAAACUUUCCACAUUGAGAAUUAACAAAGUUAGACCUGUUAAAUCUCUCCCUCCUCUAUAAAUAGUUCAUCACUCUGUAAUUUUCAUUCACCAUUAAUUGUUGCCGAGAAACUAAAACCUCUCAUUCUCUUUCAACCUUAAUUAUUCCUCAAUCUUACACCUCAACUAUCUCUGUAUCACACUUCUACAAUCCACUAUUUCAUUCUCAGAUUACGCACGAAGAAGAAGGAGAGGAUUCAAAGUUAAGAAGAAGAAUUGGAGUAGCAGGAGGAGGUAUUAAAAAAAAAGAUUUAUACCUGAAGCUUGUUCAUAUAUCUCUAUUGGCUCCAAUCUCAGACAUUCAUCUUCGACAGGUAACUUUGAUCUUCUUCACCAUUUGGCUUCAUUAUUGUUACCACCAUGUAGCAUAGGCGACGAGGAAUCAAAACCAUGACCUUAGGGACUUUGAUUCCUUCAUCUAAUCAUUUAAUUUGUAAUUUCGUGGUUAGGAUUCAUAGUUGUUUUUGUACGAUUUGGAAAAUGCAUGAGGUUUCAGGUGAAUUCAGUGUUGGAUUUGGUUAGAGCUCGAAAAUUAGAUUGAAAUAGUGUAUAUGGAUAUGGUGUUUGAUGCUCCAUCACCAGUGGUGAGCUCUGUCGCAAUGGAGAAUGAGAGAUAGGAAGUGAUUGAACUGAGCAUGAG